AGCAUUGAUAUGUAUACACUUUGGUACCAUGUCACAUUAACUUUUUUGACAAACUGAACUGUAAGUCUCACUAAAUGUCAAAUAUGUUAGUGCGACAGAGUCCUAAAGUGGGUACAUUAUAUUGCUCAUGACUGUACCCACACCUCACCGAGCUUUCUGUUAGACCAACGUGAUAGGUGAGCCGUAUCGCCGUCUGUAAUGGUCGAGACGAUGUUGAAAACUGCACUUAUGAUAACUUAAUAACAUACUGGUACCAACCCCAUCAAUCCUGGUGCCAGGGUUACUUAGGGUCGGUUAGGGUUAUUGAGGGUUUCUAUUGGGGUUGGUAAUCCACCUCACAACCCACCCGAUAGAAGAAGAAUAACAUACUGGUGUAAGUCCGGUACCGGGAUUCGAUCCCGCGCUCCCAUUUGAGAAGCAAGACGGUGUACCACAAGACCACAGUGACUCCAUCAAAUAAAUAAAAAAAAAAAAAAAACAAAUCAAAACCAGACAUAACAUUAUGAAUUCAGUACAACUUGGGCGGCCUUAAUGCUCCAGGAAAC